rnacentral:lncRNA from 1 species
UCAAGAUAUCCCGAGUCAUUUUCAAAAUAAAUAAAAAAUCCUAUAGGAAUAAAAUAAAAAAAUCAAUGGAGCCCGAUAUCCAAUUAAAUAAAUGUUAAAGGAUGAAACUGAAAUAAACAUGAGCUUAAAAAAAGAAAAAAAACCAAGCAAACUCGGGAAACCUUCUAAACCUGGGUUAAUCUCUAAAACUUGUAACUCAUGAAAUCCUAGACUGGAGCUUGAUUAAGAAGCACAAUUCUCAAUUAAUUUAAUAUUGAAUAAUGAAAACAGAAAAAAAUCAAUUUAAAAAAAAUGUUAAAGUGAAAAAACAUAGUAAUUAAAAGAAUAAAAACUAAAUCUAAUAGGAAAAAAAAACUUAUGAAGGAUGAUAUUGUAAAAGAAAUCGAAAGAAUGAGGUUUCAACCUUAAGUGACUAACUAGAUAUCUCAAUUAAUGAGAAAGCAGAAUAGUAAACAGGAAAUUAGAGGAACUCCCUGCUUCUCACGUCAAAUGAAAGCAACACCCAAUUGCAUAGUUUUGAAACCCAACCUGGUCAUCGACCCGGUCAAGUGAUCGGGUCACGGGUCAGAUGGGUUGAUCCGGGUUGACCCGGGUCAAUCCAAAAAAAAACAGAGACAUAGAGAAGACAUAAAGACUUGUGACCUUCCUCCAGCAAAAGGGAACUUCAACUUCCCCUCACCGUAAGUUGUUGAUCCAACCAACAAAUACAAACCCAGAGAAACCAGGACAAAAAACAAAAGCCACAAAGAAGGGGAGAACCACAAACAAAUAAUACAAAAAAACACAGAUGAAAAAUGAACUAACAUAGAUAAUACAGAGAGAGACCAAGAGGAACAAGAAUAGAGAGAGACAGAGGGAACAAGAGAAGUAAAAAAAUAAAUAAAGAGAUGACAAGCAGAGAAAAGCAAGAACAGAGGUGAAGUGAACGAAAAACAGAAGUAAAGGGGAAGAAAGUAACAUUGGUUAGCCAGCCCUCCAUCACCAUCGCCUUCGUCUUUAAGUAGCAGCUCCAGGUAAGUCUUUCUUUCUAUUUCCCCCGCUUUCAAUUCUUAAUAAUAAUUGUAAUAAUAAUAACAAACAUGGAUUGUGGAUCAUAAGGAACAGCAAAUGAAAGGCCUAUUGUCAUGAUAUAUAUAUAUAUAUAUAACAGUAUGUAAGAAAUGGUUACGGUGGCGAAAUUGAAAUCGAUGGCAGCGAGUGAAAGAAGGAUUAUCGCAGAAAUUGAGGUGCUGGGCUGAAAUUAAAAUUGAUGCCAGAAAUGAGAAAACGGCCAAGAAUAAAGAAAACAGAGAGUGAAAGAAGGAGAUUCAAACCUUUUUCGCAGAGAUCAAUGGUCAGACGUUCGCUGCUCAUCUGCUCCUCAGUUGAGUUUCAAAGAUAGAGUAACAUUAAUUAGGUUUAUUGCUUUGAUCUUCUUCUGUCUUUAGUCUUUAGCGUUUUGGCAUUUUAGAUGGAAAAAAACGACGUCGUUUAAUGACAGUGAAAAUAAAAAAAAAAUUGACCGGGUCUCACCCGGGUUUGGCCGGGUGGACCGGGUUUUCCCGGGCCAAUUCACUACAAGAUUUAACAGUUUUACCGACGGAAUUUUUCCGUCGGUGUAAGACACAUAUUCCAUCGGUAAUUAUAUUACCGACGGAAUCAAAGACGGAAAUGAUCCGUCGGUGAAUCGUUCGUCGGUAAUGUUUUGUCCGUCGGCAAAUCCGUUGGUAAUAGAAUUACCGAUGGAUUUACUGACGGAACAGACGCGUCGGUAAUAAUUUUUUUAUUACCAACGGAAUUACCGAGGGAUUUACCGAAGGAAUUACCGACGGAAGUACCGACAGAAGUUCCGUCGGUAAUUCCGUCGGUAAUUAUUGAAAAACAUUUUAAAAAAAAUUCAUUUUAUAAAAUUAUAAAAUAAUUAAAUUAACAUAAAUUAACACUGUAUAAUAUAUACUCAAAAUGCUUGGAAAAAAGAAUAAGAAAAUCAAUUCAAACAAAUUUGCAACAAAUAAAUAAAAUAAAAAAAUAAAUUCAACUAAAAAAAUUCAUAUGAAAAAAAUGAAGUUGCAAUUGCUAAAAAUUUAAAAAUCCUAUAAAUAAAUCUACUAAAAAUUGAUCUCAUAUGAAAAAAAAAUCUCAAAACAACUUUUAUACAAUUAUUAAGAACAAAAACAAUUAAAAAUAAAAUAAAGAACAAAAAUAGUGAAAAAAAUCAUGAAAAAAGAAGAAAAAAGAAAAAUCUUACCUUAAUGUAGUUGCAAGUGAAGCUAAGGAGAGAAAAAAAAUUUCAUUAAGCAUAUUAAUUAAAAAAAAACUAAGAGGAUAAAAGAAGAAAGAAGAAGAAGACAUACCCAAGCAUGGAAGAAAAGAGAAGGAGAUGAGGAGAGAAAAGAAGAGAAAGAAAUAGAUAAGAAAUGAUGUUUUUUACAUAAAGUGAAGAAGAAGAAGAAGACAUACCUUAAUGAUGUUUUUUACAUAUAGUGAAGAAGAAGAAGAAGAAGAAGUAGAAGAACAAGAAGAAGAAUAAUAAUAAUAAGAAACGGGUCUGUCUCUUGUGAAAUAAGGGCAUUCAGGCUUUUUAUUGGGACGCUUUACCGACGGAUUUACCGGUGGAAUUACCAACGGAAUUACCGACGGAAUAAAUUCCGUCGGUGAUUCCGUCGGUAAAUUUGUUGGUAAAAAUGACACGUCAUCAUUUUUUUUUUUGCUUUGUUUUAAUUUUUUUUCCCACGGUAAUUCCCUCGGUAUAUAUGUUUGUAUUUAUCAAUUUUCUGGUAGUGAUUCCCGAGCGGGUUUUUGCCUCAACCCGGACCGGUCCCAGGCCCGGGUCGGCCGGGUCCUGGGUCGACCCGCCGGGCCGGUCCGGGUUUUAAAACUCUACCCAAUUGAGUAAUGAAUGUAACUCUGGUCCCUUGGUUUGAACCACAAGUGACUAACUAGCAGACUAGUCAACAGCCUAUUAGAGGAAUUGAAUGAAAGCAAUUGAAUGCAGGAAGAGGGCCAGACUAGUAAACAGCCAACAGCGGCAGUUCUCCUCCAGCAUGUGCAACUGAGGAGCCGUGAUGAAGGCGACACUCUUCAAAAUAAAUCUUGAAUCGAUUGACUGAUGCUCUUUUCUUCUUUGUCGGUGUAUAAAUUAGUGGUUAGCUAAUUAAUGUCCCACGGCCAGGCUAUCGAUACCAUCCAUUACCAGGAUGAGUGCGAGACUCUUCAAAUCCAAUUGUCGAAUGAAUGUAACUCUGGAAUUAUUCCAAAUCCACAAGUUUGAUAGUGUUGUUUUAAAAUUUUAAAGGGAUGAAAAAAUAAUAAGAAAAAUAAAAAGAAAAAUUAUCAGCACCAAACCAAAAAAGCACUCACCAACUACUUUUUU